ACCACAGCCAAAUGCUAUCAAAAAUGCGGAAUUUGUACCAUGAAUUUCGUACCAUGUUACCUUUGAAGCAGCUGACCUCGCCUCGAUUUCACACGCAAUAGAAGCUACGCCAACAAUAGUCAACAAAAAGGGCGAAACCAUGGAAUAUAUAUUUCAGACUUCAUAGAGCGCGUUAAAGGUACAUAACCUAAUUGGUGUCGCUUAUGGUAACUGCGCAGAGCUCUCGAAGGGAUGGGAGUAUGUGAUGCAAGCAAAUCAAGAAUUAUGGGCGCAAACGCUGCUACAUCGAACACAAAUCAUUUACACAGCAGAUAUUAGAUUGAAUGUCACAUGCAAUUAAACCAUUUGGUCAACAAUAGCACGUGAAUAAUUGGAACGACAUAGUUUAGGUGCUUUUGUAACCAUUUAUCAUCGCGACGUAUGUCAACUUGAUGCAGCAUUUUUGGACUUACCGGCACUUUAGUUGGCCGUAGCAUUAGCAAUUUAAAUUUAGAAAUCAGAAGGAAAAUUUAAGUGAAUGUUUGUGACCAUAAACAUUUAAAAACUUCUUCUAUGUUUAUUUAGGAGGACUUUUUUGAUGCAUUUCCACCUUGUAUUGAGGAAACAUAACGUUGUUGUAUCGCUUUACAAGGACAUGUAUUCACCGAAAUUAGUUCAAUGGGAAUACUACAACAAAAGCAUGGAUGUUAAGGCUAGAGCGGUGCCCGUGCUAGAUUUAGAAUUCCUGAAGUAUAAGAAACUCUCCUCCCAAAAACUUAAUCAAUCUAGUACUAGUGAAAUGAAUGAAAAAACAUAGACUACAAAAACCCAUAAAUAAACCAAAAAAGUCCUCACAUCAUGUGAGCUGCCACACGGUAUAGCCUACGAUCCGAUUGCAAAAAUUGUUCAACUAUUCAAUACUAUAUAUGCACAUAUGAAUGUAUAUAGUGUAGUACGAUAAUAAAAGAAUAAUAAAAAUAUAAUAAUAAACAACUAAAUGAUAUGAUAGUUUCAAUAAAUAUGAAAUGUAAUUAAUGAUUUUGCUAUUAAAUUCUCAUUUGGGGUUUUGGAAGAACUAACUGCGGGUAUCGUUUCAGGGCUUUAGUGGGUCGUAGUACUGAAAGUGCACGUUGUUCGUAGUUUUGGGUCUUUCAUACGUGAUUGUACCAACAUCAUUCCCCGAAAAAAUGGCUGAACCUCAACAUGAGGUGACGCCGCGAAAUAGUCUAAGCACGUAUAGAGUGAAUACAAUUAAAGAGUUACAAAAGGCUCACUCUCUUGUAAAUGAAAGGCUUAAAACCUUAGAAGCGAUGUGUAAUCAAUUACACAAAGAUAAUAUAGCACUAAAAAAGAAAAUGAAGAACUGAAAGCCAGUAUAAGCAAGCCUGCUAGUA